GAGCUCAUUACCAUUAGUGAUGAGACUGCUCCUAUAAAACCCGCAAUUAAGGGUAAAGGGAUUUUACAGGAGGAAGAGUCUGUUGCAUCACUAAAAGAGGCAUCCGCUCGGGAGUCACAACAAGUGACGCAGCAAGUUCGUAGCGUACCACCCACUGGUCCUCCGAAGAUAGCGGCAAAAAAAGGCGGUGCUUUUGUGCCUCGAUACCGGACGACGCUCGCAAC